AGCAGCCGCGGUAAUUCCAGCUCCAAUAGCGUAUAUUAAAGUUGUUGCAGUUAAAAAGCUCGUAGUUGAAUUUCGGGAUCAUCAGGUUGGUCGUGCCAAUGGUAUGUACUUGCCUUGAUGGUUCCUCCCUCUUGAAGAUCCGUAAUGUCAUUAAUUUGGUGUUGCGGGGAAUCAGGACUGUUACUUUUGAAAAAUUAGAGUGUUUAAAGCAGGCAAGCGCUUGAAUACAUUAGCAUGGAAUAAUGAAAUAGGACGUUUGAUCUUAUUUUGUUGGUUUCUUAGGAUCGACGUAAUGAUUAAUAGGGAUAGUUGGGGGUCAUUAGUAUUCAAUUGUCAGAGGUGAAAUUCUUGGAUUUAUUGAAGACUAACUACUGCGAAAGCAUUUGCCAAGGA
rnacentral:rRNA from 1 species